rnacentral:misc_RNA from 1 species
CUGAGUGAGGGCCCUCUGGGUCCAACCUCCCACCCGUGUUUAUUGUACCUUGUUGCUUCGGUGCGCCCGCCUCACGGCCGCCGGGGGGCAUCUGCCCCCGGGCCCGCGCCCGCCGAAGACACCUUGAACUCUGUCUGAAGAUUGCAGUCUGAGCAUAAACUAAAUAAGUUA